GGGAGGCAAAACACGCAGUCUAGCGAGCUUGCCUAGAUGAUUUUAGUGCUUGCACUAAAUGAAACUAGAUACAAGCGACCUGCGGACGGGUGAGUAACACGUGGGUAACCUGCCCAAGAGACUGGGAUAACACCUGGAAACAGAUGCUAAUACCGGAUAACAACACUAGACGCAUGUCUAGAGUUUGAAAGAUGGUUCUGCUAUCACUCUUGGAUGGACCUGCGGUGCAUUAGCUAGUUGGUAAGGUAACGGCUUACCAAGGCAAUGAUGCAUAGCCGAGUUGAGAGACUGAUCGGCCACAUUGGGACUGAGACACGGCCCAAACUCCUACGGGAGGCAGCAGUAGGGAAUCUUCCACAAUGGACGAAAGUCUGAUGGAGCAACGCCGCGUGAGUGAAGAAGGGUUUCGGCUCGUAAAGCUCUGUUGGUAGUGAAGAAAGAUAGAGGUAGUAACUGGCCUUUAUUUGACGGUAAUUACUUAGAAAGUCACGGCUAACUACGUGCCAGCAGCCGCGGUAAUACGUAGGUGGCAAGCGUUGUCCGGAUUUAUUGGGCGUAAAGCGAGUGCAGGCGGUUCAAUAAGUCUGAUGUGAAAGCCUUCGGCUCAACCGGAGAAUUGCAUCAGAAACUGUUGAACUUGAGUUCAGAAGAGGAGAGUGGAACUCCAUGUGUAGCGGUGGAAUGCGUAGAUAUAUGGAAGAACACCAGUGGCGAAGGCGGCUCUCUGGUCUGCAACUGACGCUGAGGCUC
rnacentral:rRNA from 1 species